GGGCCUUGGUUUAGUGUUAGAGCACCUGUUUGGCAUGCAGAAGGUUCCAGGUUCAAUCCCCGGCAUCUCCA